rnacentral:misc_RNA from 1 species
AUAGAAAAUUAACAUAAACAUGAGAUUUUUAACUUUGAAAUAAAUUUUCAUAAGAUUUUUAGUAGUUAUAAAUAAAUAAAUAAUAAAGAAAUAUCUACAAAAUACACACACGGUCGUCUGUUCCUAAAGCCGCAAACAAGCUUACGACAUACCGUAACUUAUAGACGCCUGCGAAACCAGAAUGAAUGCAAACUCCGACCCUACACAGGAACACAACACUAUUGACAGCAGUAUU